CGGCGGGCGGCCACGGGGGAAGGCGGAGCCAGGCGCCGGGCCCUGCCCGGCUGCGGGGAGAGACAUUGAGAUACGCUCAGCCAUUGCUUUCUUAUUAUAAGCAACCAUUUGCAGUGCUUGAAGCAAAACAAGUGGAGAUUUGAUGUUUCUCAAAGAUGCACAUGCUACUGACAGUGAUCCUGGAAAUGACCCUUUUGCAGCUGCCAGCACAGAGGUAUAUCAUAGAACAAAUGAACUCUACGUCUUAGAGAUCCUAAUUCUCCACGGUGUGCAUGAUGUACAAAAUGGAACUUAAAAAUGAAGCAGAAUCCUGAGGUUUGCCACAGGGGGGCCCUAAAACUAGUGGCUUUUAGCCAUCCUUGAAAAGGACCUCCUCAGUUCUCCCCUGUGGUUCUCCUACCAGUCAUAACAGCACAGCUGAGCCAGCAGCUACACUAUAAUUAACUGCCUAGUCUGUAGUUGUGCUUUCUGUCCCUACUGAGGAAAAGGAAAUAUCACAGAGCAUGCAAGAAGAG